CCGCCUUGCCGCCUUGAAGCGCUUCGGCACCAAAGGGAGGAAAGUCCGGACAUCACAGAGCACCGCGCUACCUAACGGGUAGGCAGUCCACGGGGAACUUGGGGCUGACAGCUAGUGCCACAGAGAGGGAAACCGCCAACGGAUGCAUCGUACGAGUACCGGGGGCAAGGGUGAAAAGGUGGGGUAAGAGCCCACCAGCGUCAAAAGCAAUUUUGAUGGCUUGGUAAACCUCGCGGGAUGAAAUGCCAUGUAGGCUGGCGCUUGAAGACGGCUCGUCUGAGCCAGCGGGUAGGCAGAUAGAGCAGUUGGGUGACCAA
rnacentral:RNase_P_RNA from 1 species